GGCCUGUUAGCUCAGUUGGUUAGAGCGCCGUGCUAAUAACGCGGAGGUCACGAUUCUCUUACGGGCCA
rnacentral:tRNA from 1 species